rnacentral:rRNA from 1 species
UACGUAGGGUGCAAGCGUUUGUCCGGAAUUAUUGGGCGUAAAGAGCUCGUAGGCGGUCUGUCGCGUCUGCUGUGAAAAUCCAGGGCUCAACCCUGGACCUGCAGUGGGUACGGGCAGACUAGAGUGCGGUAGGGGAGAUCGGAAUUCCUGGUGUAGCGGUGAAAUGCGCAGAUAUCAGGAGGAACACCUAUUGCGAAGGCAGCUCGCUGGGACGUUACUGACGCUGAGACGCGAAAGCGUGGGGAGCAAACAGG